GGGUGGAGCAGUGGUAGCUCGUCGGGCUCAUAACCCGAAGGUCGCAGGUUCAAAUCCUGUCCC
rnacentral:tRNA from 1 species